GACGAACGCUGGCGGCGUGCCUAAUACAUGCAAGUAGAACGCUGAAGAGAGGAGCUUACUCUUCUUGGAUGAGUUGCGAACGGGUGAGUAACGCGUAGGUAACCUGCCUUGUAGCGGGGGAUAACUAUUGGAAACGAUAGCUAAUACCGCAUAACAAUGGAUGACACAUGUCAUUUAUUUGAAAGGGGCAAUUGCUCCACUACAAGAUGGACCUGCGUUGUAUUAGCUAGUAGGUGAGGUAAUGGCUCACCUAGGCGACGAUACAUAGCCGACCUGAGAGGGUGAUCGGCCACACUGGGACUGAGACACGGCCCAGACUCCUACGGGAGGCAGCAGUAGGGAAUCUUCGGCAAUAGGGGCAACCCUGACCGAGCAACGCCGCGUGAGUGAAGAAGGUUUUCGGAUCGGAAAGCUCUGUUGUAAGUCAAGAACGGGUGUGAGAGUGGAAAGUUCACACUGUGACGGUAGCUUACCAGAAAGGGACGGCUAACUACGUG
rnacentral:rRNA from 1 species